rnacentral:rRNA from 1 species
GGGAGGUAGUGACAAUAAAUAACAAUACAGGGUCCUUUUGGGUCCUGUAAUUGGAAUGAGUACAAUUUAAAUCCCUUAACGAGGAACAAUUGGAGGGCAAGUCUGGUGCCAGCAGCCGCAGUAAUUCCAGCUCCAAUAGCGUAUAUUAAAGUUGUUGCAGUUAAAAAGCUCGUAGUUGAAUUUCGGGGUUAGUAGGUUGGUCAUGCCUCUGGUAUGUACUGGUCUCACUGAUUCCUCCUUCCUGAUGAACCGUAAUGCCAUUAAUUUGGUGUUGCGGGGAAUUUGGACUGUUACUUUGAAAAAUUAGAGUGUUUAAAGCAAGCUAACGCUUGAAUACAUUAGCAUGGAAUAAUGAAAUAGGACGUUCGAUCCUAUUUUGUUGGUUUCUAGGAUUGACGUAAUGAUUAAUAGGGAUAGUUGGG